rnacentral:rRNA from 1 species
CAGUCGCGCCUUCUGGGAUUCAGCCUUGCUUUUGCUUGGUGCUUUGAUGCUGGCGUAAUGGCUUUAAGCGACCCGUCUUGAAACACGGACCAAGGAGUCUAACAUAUAUGCGAGUGUU